GCUGUGUGCUGUGAUGUACACCUGUAAUCCUAGCAACUCAGGAGGCUGAGGCAGGAGGAUCACUUAAACCCAGGAGUUUGAGGCCAAUCUGGACAACAUAGUGAGACCUUGUCUCAA
rnacentral:sRNA from 1 species